GAGCUGGAAGGGGUUACUGUCAGGGGUCCAGGAACUCUGCCUAGAAAGGAAAGCUAGCAGUGACCAACUGGGAGGGGGACAAUAGCGUGUGGCUGGAUUGGAAGUGGCCACGAAGGUCACAUCUGGCCUGGUGUCCUCACCUCCUGACACAGGGGUCUAAGUAUCACCUGUGAUCUCUGCCAGCAUCCACGAGACAGGCAAGAGAAAGAGUGCUUUGUGAAGGCCCUGCAGCAGAAGACAGACACAGAAGUGGAGCUUCAGGAAGAAGCUUGAUCCCAGGGUCACUGGAGUCUGAGGACCAGUGGAUGUAGAGCCAUGAUACUCCAGAUGGUUGUAAGCCACCAUGUGGUUGCUGGGAUUUGAACUCCGGACCUUCGGAAGAGCAGUCGGUUGCUCUUACCUGCUGAGCCAUCUCACCAGCCCCUGAAGUCCUAUUCUUAAGUGAGCCCAUGAAUUUGGUCAGAAAGAGUGGUGUGAGCAGAUAUGGAUGAUUGGGAGGGGAGUAAAGUGUCAAUCUGAUCAACAUAUAUGUGUGUGUAAUAUUUUCAAACAGUAAAAUAAAUAAAUU